rnacentral:rRNA from 1 species
UACGGAGGGUGCGAGCGUUGUCCGGAAUUAUUGGGUUUAAAGGGUGCGUAGGCGGUUUUUUAAGUCAGAGGUGAAAUCCCACAGCUUAACUGUGGAACUGCCUUUGAUACUGGAAGACUUGAGUAUAGUAGAGGUAGGCGGAAUUGAAGGUGUAGCGGUGAAAUGCAUAGAUAUCUUCAAGAACACCAAUUGCGUAGGCAGCUUACUGGGCUAUAACUGACGCUGAGGCACGAAAGCAUGGGGAGCAAACAGG